AUUGAACGCUGGCGGCAUGCUUUACACAUGCAAGUCGAACGGUAACAGGCCGCAAGGUGCUGACGAGUGGCGAACGGGUGAGUAAUGCAUCGGAACGUGCCCAGUCGUGGGGGAUAACUACUCGAAAGAGUAGCUAAUACCGCAUACGAUCUAUGGAUGAAAGCGGGGGACCGUAAGGCCUCGCGCGAUUGGAGCGGCCGAUGUCAGAUUAGGUAGUUGGUGGGGUAAAGGCUCACCAAGCCAACGAUCUGUAGCUGGUCUGAGAGGACGACCAGCCACACUGGGACUGAGACACGGCCCAGACUCCUACGGGAGGAAGCAGUGGGGAAUUUUGGACAAUGGGCGCAAGCCUGAUCCAGCAAUGCCGCGUGCAGGAAGAAGGCCUUCGGGUUGUAAACUGCUUUUGUACGGAACGAAACGGCUCUGGUUAAUACCCGGAGCUAAUGACGGUACCGUAAGAAUAAGCACCGGCUAACUACGUG
rnacentral:rRNA from 1 species